rnacentral:rRNA from 1 species
AUUGAACGCUGGCGGCAUGCUUUACACAUGCAUGUCGAACGGUAACAGGCCUUCGGGCGCUGGCGAGUGGCGAACGGGUGAGUAAUGCAUCGGAACGUGCCCAGUCGUGGGGGAUAACGCAGCGAAAGCUGUGCUAAUACCGCAUACGAUCUAUGGAUGAAAGCGGGGGACCGUAAGGCCUCGCGCGAUUGGAGCGGCCGAUGUCAGAUUAGGUAGUUGGUGGGGUAAAGGCUCACCAAGCCAACGAUCUGUAGCUGGUCUGAGAGGACGACCAGCCACACUGGAACUGAGACACGGUCCAGACUCCUACGGGAGGCAGCAGUGGGGAAUUUUGGACAAUGGGCGCAAGCCUGAUCCAGCAAUGCCGCGUGCAGGAAGAAGGCCUUCGGGUCGUAAACUGCUUUUGUACGGAACGAAACGGCGAGCUCUAAUACAGUUUGCUAAUGACGGUACCGUAAGAAUAAGCACCGGCUAACUACGUGCCAGCCGCCGCCGUAACAC